rfam:Triticum aestivum genome assembly, contig: Triticum_aestivum_CS42_TGACv1_scaffold_501690_6BL
AUACUUACCUGGACGGGGUCGACGGCCGAUCAAGAAGGGUCGUGGCCUAGAUCAAUGGAUCACAUUGCACCUGGUGAGCGCGUUGGCCUACCAUCUCCUCAAGUGGGAGAGUGGACGUCGUAAUUUGUGGUAGAGGGGGUACGCGUUCGCGCGGCCCUGCC